AUUGAACGCUGGCGGCAGGCCUAACACAUGCAAGUCGAGCGGAUGAGUGGAGCUUGCUCCAUGAUUCAGCGGCGGACGGGUGAGUAAUGCCUAGGAAUCUGCCUGGUAGUGGGGGACAGCGUUUCGAAAGGAACGCUAAUACCGCAUACGUCCUACGGGAGAAAGUGGGGGAUCUUCGGACCUCACGCUAUCAGAUGAGCCUAGGUCGGAUUAGCUAGUUGGUGAGGUAAAGGCACACCAAGGCGACGAUCCGUAACUGGUCUGAGAGGAUGAUCAGUCACACUGGAACUGAGACACGGUCCAGACUCCUACGGGAGGCAGCAGUGGGGAAUAUUGGACAAUGGGCGAAAGCCUGAUCCAGCCAUGCCGCGUGUGUGAAGAAGGUCUUCGGAUUGUAAAGCACUUUAAGUUGGGAGGAAGGGCAGUAAGUUAAUACCUUGCUGUUUUGACGUUACCAACAGAAUAAGCACCGGCUAACUUCGUGCCAGCAGCCGCCGUAAUAC
rnacentral:rRNA from 1 species